rnacentral:rRNA from 1 species
CGGUAUUUUGACCGUGCUAAGGUAGCAUAAUCAAUUGUUUUUUAAUUGAAAACUAGCAUGAACGGUUUAAUUAAUUUAAUUAGUUUGUAAAUUUUAAUAGUAAAUUAAAUAUAAAGUAAUAAUUCUUUAAUACAUUAGGGGACGAUAAGACCCUAAAAGCUUUAUGAAAAGUAUUUAAUUGGUGUUAGUGGUAAUAUUAAUUCACUGGGGCAGUGAAUUUAUUUGUAUUAAAAAAAAAUUAAGGGGUCCUUUAAAUAAAGAUUUUAUGUGUAAGUUACUUUAGGGAUAACAGUGCAAUAUAUU